AAAGAAACCAACCGGGAUUGCCUCAGUAACGGCGAGUGAAGCGGCAAGAGCUCAAAUUUGAAAUCUGGCCCCUCCGGGGUCCGAGUUGUAAUUUGUAGAGGAUGCUUCGGGUGCGGCCCCCGUCUAAGUGCUCUGGAACGGGCCAUCGGAGAGGGUGAGAAUCCCGUCUGGGACGGGGUGUCCGCGUCCAUGUGAAGCUCCUUCGACGAGUCGAGUUGUUUGGGAAUGCAGCUCUAAAUGGGUGGUAAAUUUCAUCUAAAGCUAAAUACUGGCCGGAGACCGAUAGCGCACAAGUAGAGUGAUCGAAAGAUGAAAAGCACUUUGAAAAGAGAGUUAAACAGCACGUGAAAUUGUUGAAAGGGAAGCGCUUGCGACCAGACUCGCUUCCGGGGUUCAGCCGGCUUUCGGGCCGGUGUACUUCCCCGGGGGCGGGCCAGCGUCGGUUUGGGCGGCCGGUCAAAGGCCCCUGGAAUGUAACGCCCCUCGGGGCGCCUUAUAGCCAGGGGUGUCAUGCGGCCAGCCUGGACCGAGGAACGCGCUUCGGCACGGACGCUGGCAUAAUGGUCGUAAACGAC
rnacentral:rRNA from 1 species